UCAACUUUGUUUAUCUUGUUUCUUUUUUCUCUUAAAAGCAAUUGAAUGAAGUGCACGACGGGAGUCAUGCCGUUUGGAGUCUGCGUCAUUCUAUUUCAUAGCAAGAUAGCAAAAGGCUUAAGGCCAGCCAAUAUGGCUAGAAACUGUAGGACCUUAUUUUCUGCGGGUCCCUUUUAUGGACUGAACAAUUGUCUCCCUUGGGCCCAAAAAUGUUAUGUGACCCUAAUCCCAGUAAACAAAUGAGAGGGAUUUCGAUGGUAACGUGUUCAUCAGUACACAUAGUUCGUGAUUCAUAUUUAUGAGAAAUGCACACAUAUUAUCCGGAAACUAAUCCAUGGUAAUUAGUUGAUAUCAUAUCUUUUUUUUCCGGAUAUGGAGGGAGAGCAGGAAAAGGAUAAACUAGUAAGAAAUAGUGGUGGAAACAGAAACAUAGAAACAGAGCUGAGAGCCGAGGGAGGAUGCAAAAGUGAAAGCGAAAGGAUAAUAAUAAUCUCAGUGCAAAGGAGAGCGGGUAUAACUAUAUUUGAUGUGAAUGUCUCCUUUCUUUAAUUUCCCUACCAAUAGAAAUGAAGUCUUGCCUCUGCCUUGUAGCCAUGUAACCCAUCUAUUUUUCCAAAGUGGAAGGAAACC
rnacentral:lncRNA from 1 species